AAUGAACGUUGGCGGCGUGGAUUAGGCAUGCAAGUCGAGCGAGAAUUUGCGAUUGGAAGCUUCGGCCGAAGAAAGUGAAGGAAAGCGGCAAACGGCGUAGUAAGGCGUAGGUACGUACCCUCGGGUCGGGAAUAGCCAUGGGAAACUGUGGGUAAUGCCCGAUAAUCUCUGCGGAGCAAAGGUGUGAUUCCGCCGGAGGAGCGGCUUACGUGAUAUUAGCUAGUUGGUGGGGUAAUGGCCUACCAAGGCAACGAUGUCUGGGGGGUGGUGAGAGCAUGGCCCCCACCGACGGAACUGAGACACUGUCCGGACACCUACGGGUGGGCUGCAGUCGAGAAUCUUCCGCAAUGGGCGAAAGCCUGACGGAGCGACGCCGCGUGGUGGA
rnacentral:rRNA from 1 species